UGCGUAGGCGGCGGCCCAAGUCUGGUGUGAAAUCUCCCGGCUUAACCGGGAGGGUGCGCUAGAAACUGGGUUGCUGGAGUACCGGAGAGGCAGGCGGAAUUCCUGGUGUAGCGGUGAAAUGCGUAGAUAUCAGGAGGAACACCCGUGGUGUAGACGGCCUGCUGGACGGUCACUGACGCUGAGGCACGAAAGCGUGGGGAGCAAACA
rnacentral:rRNA from 1 species